rnacentral:rRNA from 1 species
AGCAUAUCAAUAAGCGGAGGAAAAGAAACCAACAGGGAUUGCCCUAGUAACGGCGAGUGAAGCGGCAACAGCUCAAAUUUGAAAUCUGGCCCUUUUGGGGUCCGAGUUGUAAUUUGCAGAGGGUGCUUUGGCAUUGGCGGCGGUCUAAGUUCCUUGGAACAGGACAUCGCAGAGGGUGAGAAUCCCGUACGUGGGCGCCUGCCUUUGCCGUGUAAAGCCCCUUCGACGAGUCGAGUUGUUUGGGAAUGCAGCUCUAAAUGGGAGGUAAAUUUCUUCUAAAGCUAAAUACUGGCCAGAGACCGAUAGCGCACAAGUAGAGUGAUCGAAAGAUGAAAAGCACUUUGGAAAGAGGGUGAAACAGCACGUGAAAUUGUUAAAAGGGAAGCGCUUGCAGUCAGACUUGCCCGUAGUUGCUCACCCAGGCUUUUGCCCGGGGCACUCUUCUGCGGGCAGGCCAGCAUCAGUUUGGGCGGUUGGAUAAAGGCCUCUGUCACGUAUCUCCCUUCGGGGUGACCUUAUAGGGGAGGCGCAAUGCAACCAGCCCGGACUGAGGUCCGCGCUUCGGCUAGGAUGCUGGCGUAAUGGCUGUAAGCGGCCCGUCUUGAAACACGGACCAAGGAGUCUAACAUCUAUGCGAGUGUUUGGGUGUCAAGCCCGGACGCGCAAUGAAAGUGAACGGAGGUGGGAACCCUUUGGGUGCACCAUCGACCGAUCCUGAAGUCUUCGGAUGGAUUUGAGUAAGAGCAUAGCUGUUGGGACCCGAAAGAUGGUGAACUAUGCUUGAAUAGGGUGAAGCCAGAGGAAACUCUGGUGGAGGCUCGCAGCGGUUCUGACGUGCAAAUCGAUCGUCAAAUUUGGGCAUAGGGGCGAAAGACUAAUCGAUCCAU